rnacentral:lncRNA from 1 species
GAAACCAUAUUUGCAGAGCUAGAAGUAUCACCAAGAGCAAUCUGUUGUCUGGCUUCAGCAUCAAUAAGCAUAGUCGCUACACCUUGAACAGUAUAUGGAACGCGACUGGCAGUAAUAAUAGUAAUCACCGAUUCAUACUCAAGUGAUAGACCAUUGAGAAUGGCAGUCACAUGCUCGCGUUCACUAAUAAUCUGACCGCAACUAGCAAGGUUGUCACAACAGCCUUUGAUCUUCAUCAAGAACUCUUUCAUGCUCAGAUCACCUUUCCGUUGAGAAUGCAAGGCUCGUCUAUAGAACAUCAGUCUAGAAGUGGUUUGACUGCCAUACAAGGU